UAGCUAGUUGGUGAGGUAAAGGCUUACCAAGGCGACGAUCUGUAGCGGGUCUGAGAGGAUGAUCCGCCACACUGGAACUGAGACACGGUCCAGACUCCUACGGGAGGCAGCAGUGGGGAAUUUUGGACAAUGGGGGCAACCCUGAUCCAGCCAUGCCGCGUGAGUGAAGAAGGCCUUCGGGUUGUAAAGCUCUUUCGGCCGGGAAGAAAUCGCAUGGGCCAAUACCCUGUGUGGAUGACGGUACCGGAAUAAGAAGCACCGGCUAACUACGUGCCAGCAGCCGCGGUAAUACGUAGGGUGCGAGCGUUAAUCGGAAUUACUGGGCGUAAAGCGUGCGCAGGCGGUUUUGUAAGACAGGCGUGAAAUCCCCGGGCUUAACCUGAGAACUGCGUUUGUGACUGCAAGGCUAGAGUACGGCAGAGGGGGGUGGAAUUCCACGUGUAGCAGUGAAAUGCGUAGAGAUGUGGAGGAACACCAAUGGCGAAGGCAGCCCCCUGGGUCGAUACUGACGCUCAUGCACGAAAGCGUGGGUAGCAAACAGGAUUAGAUACCCUGGUAGUCCACGCCCUAAACUAUGUCAACUAGGUGUUGGGUGGGUAAAACCACUUAGUACCGUAGCUAACGCGUGAAGUUGACCGCCUGGGGAGUACGGCCGCAAGGUUAAAACUCAAAGGAAUUGACGGGGACCCGCACAAGCGGUGGAUGAUGUGGAUUAAUUCGAUGCAGCGCGAAAAACCUUACCUACCCUUGACAUGCCAGGAACUUGCCAGAGAUGGCUUGGUGCCCGAAAGGGAGCCUGGACACAGGUGCUGCAUGGCUGUCGUCAGCUCGUGUCGUGAGAUGUUGGGUUAAGUCCCGCAACGAGCGCAACCCUUGUCGUUAAUUGCCAUCAUUUAGUUGGGCACUUUAACGAGACUGCCGGUGACAAACCGGAGGAAGGUGGGGAUGACGUCAAGUCCUCAUGGCCCUUAUGGGUAGGGCUUCACACGUCAUACAAUGGUCGGUACAAAGGGUUGCCAAGCCGCGAGGCGGAGCCAAUCCCAGAAAGCCGAUCGUAGUCCGGAUUGCAGGCUGCAACUCGCCUGCAUGAAGUCGGAAUCGCUAGUAAUCGUGGAUCAGCAUGUCACGGUGAAUACGUUCCCGGGUCUUGUACACACCGCCCGUCACACCAUGGGAGCGGGUUCCGCCAGAAGUAGGUAGCCUAACCGCAAGGGGGGCGCUUACCACGGCGGGGUUCGUGACUGGGGUGAAGUCGGAACAAGGUAGCCGUAGGGGAACCUGCGGCUG
rnacentral:rRNA from 1 species